GGGGGUGGCGUGGUUUCGACGGGAGCCACGGGCACUUAAAACUGCACGCCGUGCUUUUGCCGUGUGCACGUUAAAUAAACGGCGAAAAAUAAGUGCCAACUAUUCAUAUGCCUUGGCUGCCUAAAAAUCAAUGGCAGCCCGUCCUUUAUAACUUGUGCCUGUCCAGGUUAUAAAGGGCGUGGAAAAAGACAGGCUCACGCUAUCUCUGUUCUCGGAGGAGAUGGCGUGAAUAAAAAUUCCGAGAUAGUUCCGCUAUCUUAGGUGCCUGUCCCUAAAGGCGGGACGAACUUUCAAAGACAGGCUAAGCGUGUAGAUGUUUUAAGUGUCUGGCUUCCGGACCCGGGUUCGACUCCCGGCACCUCCACUG
rnacentral:tmRNA from 1 species